rnacentral:rRNA from 1 species
UGCGUAGGCGGCGCGACAAGUUGGGUGUGAAAUCCCUCGGCUCAACCGAGGAACUGCGCUCAAUACUGUCGUGCUCGAGGGAGACAGAGGUGAGCGGAACUUAGGGUGGAGCGGUGAAAUGCGUUGAUAUCCUAAGGAACACCGGUAGCGAAAGCGGCUCACUGGGUCUUUUCUGACGCUGAGGCACGAAAGCUAGGGUAGCAAC